GCCUCGGUGGUGCAGUGGUAGAGCAUGCGUCCCCGGUAUGGAUCAAGCGCGGAUUCGAUUCCAACGUGAGGCC